GACGAACGCUGGCGGCGCGCUUAACACAUGCAAGUCGAGCGAGAACCAAGACCUUCGGGUCCUGGGGACGAGCGGCGAACGGGUGAGUAACACGUGAGUAAUCCACCCUUGGUACCGGGAUAGCUCGGGGAAACUCGAAUUAAUACCGGAUGGCCCAUUAGCCUUUCGAGGCGAAUGGAAAAGGUAAGCUUCGGCCUCCGACCAAGGACGAGCUCGCGGCGGAUUAGCUUGUUGGCGGGGUAAUGGCCCACCAAGGCGACGAUCCGUAGCUGGUCUGAGAGGACGAUCAGCCACACUGGGACUGAGACACGGCCCAGACUCCUACGGGAGGCAGCAGUGGGGAAUCUUGCGCAAUGGGCGAAAGCCUGACGCAGCGACGCCGCGUGAGGGAAGAAGGCC
rnacentral:rRNA from 1 species